AUCUUCGGCAAUGGGCGAAAGCCUGACCGAGCGACGCCGUGUGAGCGAUGAAGGCCAUUAGGUUGUAAAGCUCUGUCGAGGGGGAACAAGCCGCAAGGUUGAGUGAUCCCUGGAGGAAGCACGGGCUAAGUUCGUGCCAGCAGCCGCGGUAAGACGAACCGUGCGAACGUUGUUCGGAAUCAUUGGGCUUAAAGGGCGCGUAGGCGGGUGUUCAAGUCCGGGGUGAAAGCCUCCAGCUCAACUGGAGAAGAGCCCCGGAUACUGUUCACCUGGAGAGAGAUAGGGGCACAUGGAACUUCCGGUGGAGCGGUGAAAUGCGUAGAGAUCGGAAGGAACGCCGGUGGCGAAAGCGAUGUGCUGGAUCUUUUCUGACGCUGAGGCGCGAAAGCUAGGGGAGCAAACGGGAUUAGAUACCCCGGUAGUCCUAGCCCUAAACGAUGGGUACUGGGUUGCGGGUCAGACAUAGACUCGCAGCCGAAGCAAAAGUGUUAAGUACCCCGCCUGGGGAGUAUGGUCGCAAGGCUGAAACUCAAAGGAA
rnacentral:rRNA from 1 species